GAUGAACGCUGGCGGCGUGCUUAACACAUGCAAGUCGAACGGUGAAAGAGAGCUUGCUCUCUGGAUCAGUGGCGAACGGGUGAGUAACACGUGAGCAAUCUGCCCCUGACUCUGGGAUAAGCGCUGGAAACGGCGUCUAAUACCGGAUACGAGCUGCGAAGGCAUCUUCAGCAGCUGGAAAGAACUUCGGUCAGGGAUGAGCUCGCGGCCUAUCAGCUAGUUGGUGAGGUAAUGGCUCACCAAGGCGUCGACGGGUAGCCGGCCUGAGAGGGUGAGCGGCCACACGGGGACUGAGACACGGCCCAGACUCCUACGGGAGGCAGCAGUGGGGAAUAUUGCACAAUGGGCGCAAGCCUGAUGCAGCAACGCCGCGUGAGGGACGACGGCCUUCGGGUUGUAAACCUCUUUUAGCAGGGAAGAAGCGAAAGUGACGGUACCUGCAGAAAAAGCACCGGCUAACUACGUGCCAGCCGCCGCGGUAAUAC
rnacentral:rRNA from 1 species